UAGUUAUUAUUAUUAUUAUUAUUAUUAUCAUUAUUGUGGUUGUUGUUAUUAUGGUUGUGUCUGCUGUCCUGUUUUUCCGUGUUGGUGUACUGUCAGGUGUUUAGGGGUGUGUGCUUGUGUAUGUGAGGGUGCGGUCGUGGCAGGCACUUUUAGGCCUGGUGGGUGUGGCCCUGCCAGCUGACCGGUCCCACCCAGGAAUCCACACACACCUGGCGCCGAUCAAGCCUCGUCAGAGGAGCUUCAAAACAGUGUGGCUGAGAGCUCCUCGACGCUGGAUCGUUGAGUGACUUCCCGAGGAAUUGUGGCGACCAGGAGGCAGCACACGGAGAGUACACAGGGAACGGAGACAGAGCACGGAGCACGGGAUAAAGGAGAAGACACGGAACGGGAGUUGGGAUCGCACGGGGGGAUUUAUUGUUGUUCGGAUUGUCACCACUGUAAAUAAACACUGUUGCACUGUA